AUGUCUGGGGAGCUGCCAUCAUCUCUGGGCAACUGUACAAAUCUCAAAACCAUCGAUCUGAAGAUCAAUAAGUUCAGUGGAGAUCUAGGAAAAGUAAACUUCUCCGCCCUGCAGAAUCUGAUAAGUUUAGAUCUCAUGAGGAAUAGUCUCAGUGGCAUAAUUCCAGAAAGCAUUUAUUCAUGCAGCAAUUUGGCUGCACUGCGGCUGUCGGCCAACCAUUUCCAUGGUGAGAUCUCACUGAGAAUAGGCAAUCUGAAGCACCUGUCCUUCCUAUCACUUGUUAGAAACUCCUUCACAAACAUUACAAAAGCUUUGCAUGUUCUUAAGAGCUGUAGGAACAUCAGCACCCUGCUUAUUGGCAAAAACUUCAUGAAUGAGGCCAUGCCAGAAGAUGAAGCCAUUGUUGGCUUCCAGAACCUUCAAUAUCUCUCCAUGCACCACUGCUCGUUGACUGGAACGAUACCUAAUUGGUUGUCAAAGCUCACAAACCUGAAGAUACUAAGCUUAUUCAGCAAUCAACUCACCGGACCAAUGCCAAGCUGGAUCAACUCCCUAGACCAACUCUUUUCUUUGAAUGUAUCUAACAACAGUCCUACUGGGGAAAUCCGAAUCACCUUAAUGCAGAUGCCAUUGUUAAAAUCAGAUAAGGUUGGCAUGUAUUCGGAAUCGGAACCAAGCCUCCUUGAUCUAGGUCUACUUAUUUAUGGAGCGAAUCCAUCACGACGUCAAUACCGCAUAGGCAGUGCUUGGCCCAAAGUGCUGAAUCUUGGUAAUAAUUUCACAGGUGUAAUCCCACAAGAGAUCGGUCAUCUGAAAGCACUCCUUUACCUAAACUUGGGUUUCAACAACUUCCAUGGAGAGAUCCCACGAUCUGCAACCUCACAAACCUGCAGGGGCUCGACUUGUUUAAUAACCAUCUCACGGGUGCAAUCCCUGUGGUACAUGAUGUUUGUUUCUCUAGCU
rnacentral:rRNA from 1 species